rnacentral:rRNA from 1 species
UACGUAGGGUGCAAGCGUUGUCCGGAAUUAUUGGGCGUAAAGAGCUCGUAGGCGGUUUGUCGCGUCUGCUGUGAAAACUCGGGGCUUAACCCCGGGCCUGCAGUGGGUACGGGCAGACUAGAGUGCGGUAGGGGAGACUGGAAUUCCUGGUGUAGCGGUGAAAUGCGCAGAUAUCGGGAGGAACACCAAUGGCGAAGGCAGCUCGCUGGGACGUGACUGACGCUGAGACGCGAAAGCGUGGGGAGCAAACAGG